rnacentral:rRNA from 1 species
AACGCUGGCGGCAUGCCUUACACAUGCAAGUCGAACGGCAGCAUGGAAGAGCUUGCUCUUCUGAUGGCGAGUGGCGAACGGGUGAGUAAAGCAUCGGAACGUACCGUGUAGUGGGGGAUAACGUAGCGAAAGUUACGCUAAUACCGCAUACGCACUGAGGUGGAAAGCAGGGGAUCGCAAGACCUUGCGCUAUACGAGCGGCCGAUGUCAGAUUAGCUAGUUGGUAGGGUAAAGGCCUACCAAGGCGACGAUCUGUAGCGGGUCUGAGAGGAUGAUCCGCCACACUGGGACUGAGACACGGCCCAGACUCCUACGGGAGGCAGCAGUGGGGAAUUUUGGACAAUGGGCGAAAGCCUGAUCCAGCCAUGCCGCGUGAGUGAAGAAGGCCUUCGGGUUGUAAAGCUCUUUCGGCUGGGAAGAAAUCGCACGGGCUAAUACUCUGUGUGGAUGACGGUACCAGCACAAGAAGCACCGGCUAACUACGUG